rnacentral:rRNA from 1 species
GAUGAACGCUGGCGGCGUGCUUAACACAUGCAAGUCGAACGAAGCACCUUGAUUCGAUUCUUCGGAUGAAGAUCUUGGUGACUGAGUGGCGGACGGGUGAGUAACGCGUGGGUAACCUGCCUCAUACAGGGGGAUAACAGUUAGAAAUGACUGCUAAUACCGCAUAAGACCACAGCACCGCAUGGUGCAGGGGUAAAAACUCCGGUGGUAUGAGAUGGACCCGCGUCUGAUUAGGUAGUUGGUGGGGUAACGGCCUACCAAGCCGACGAUCAGUAGCCGACCUGAGAGGGUGACCGGCCACAUUGGGACUGAGACACGGCCCAAACUCCUACGGGAGGCAGCAGUGGGGAAUAUUGCACAAUGGGGGAAACCCUGAUGCAGCGACGCCGCGUGAGCGAUGAAGUAUUUCGGCAUGUAAAGCUCUAUCAGCAGGGAAGAAAAUGACGGUACCUGACUAAGAAGCACCGACUAAAUACGUG